GACGAACGCUGGCGGCGUGCCUAAUACAUGCAAGUCGAACGAACUCUGGUAUUGAUUGGUGCUUGCAUCAUGAUUUACAUUUGAGUGAGUGGCGAACUGGUGAGUAACACGUGGGAAACCUGCCCAGAAGCGGGGGAUAACACCUGGAAACAGAUGCUAAUACCGCAUAACAACUUGGACCGCAUGGUCCGAGUUUGAAAGAUGGCUUCGGCUAUCACUUUUGGAUGGUCCCGCGGCGUAUUAGCUAGAUGGUGGGGUAACGGCUCACCAUGGCAAUGAUACGUAGCCGACCUGAGAGGGUAAUCGGCCACAUUGGGACUGAGACACGGCCCAAACUCCUACGGGAGGCAGCAGUAGGGAAUAUUCCACAAUGGACGAAAGUCUGAUGGAGCAACGCCGCGUGAGUGAAGAAGGGUUUCGGCUCGUAAAACUCUGUUGUUAAAGAAGAACAUAUCUGAGAGUAACUGUUCAGGUAUUGACGGUAUUUAACCAGAAAGCCACGGCUAACUACGUGCCAGCAGCCGCGGUAAUACGUAGGUGGCAAGCGUUGCCCGGAUUUAUUGGGCGUAAAGCGAGCGCAGGCGGUUUUUUAAGUCUGAUGUGAAAGCCUUCGGCUCAACCGAAGAAGUGCAUCGGAAACUGGGAAACUUGAGUGCAGAAGAGGACAGUGGAACUCCAUGUGUAGCGGUGAAAUGCGUAGAUAUAUGGAAGAACACCAGUGGCGAAGGCGGCUGUCUGGUCUGUAACUGACGCUGAGGCUCGAAAGUAUGGGUAGCAAACAGGAUUAGAUACCCUGGUAGUCCAUACCGUAAACGAUGAAUGCUAAGUGUUGGAGGGUUUCCGCCCUUCAGUGCUGCAGCUAACGCAUUAAGCAUUCCGCCUGGGGAGUACGGCCGCAAGGCUGAAACUCAAAGGAAUUGACGGGGGCCCGCACAAGCGGUGGAGCAUGUGGUUUAAUUCGAAGCUACGCGAAGAACCUUACCAGGUCUUGACAUACUAUGCAAAUCUAAGAGAUUAGACGUUCCCUUCGGGGACAUGGAUACAGGUGGUGCAUGGUUGUCGUCAGCUCGUGUCGUGAGAUGUUGGGUUAAGUCCCGCAACGAGCGCAACCCUUAUUAUCAGUUGCCAGCAUUAAGUUGGGCACUCUGGUGAGACUGCCGGUGACAAACCGGAGGAAGGUGGGGAUGACGUCAAAUCAUCAUGCCCCUUAUGACCUGGGCUACACACGUGCUACAAUGGAUGGUACAACGAGUUGCGAACUCGCGAGAGUAAGCUAAUCUCUUAAAGCCAUUCUCAGUUCGGAUUGUAGGCUGCAACUCGCCUACAUGAAGUCGGAAUCGCUAGUAAUCGCGGAUCAGCAUGCCGCGGUGAAUACGUUCCCGGGCCUUGUACACACCGCCCGUCACACCAUGAGAGUUUGUAACACCCAAAGUCGGUGGGGUAACCUUUUAGGAACUAGCCGCCUAAGGUGGGACAGAUGAUUAGGGUG
rnacentral:rRNA from 1 species